UGGUAUUAUGGCCCUUAUAGAAUUUGUCUAGCAGGUUUUACGGUUCUUUCCAGAAGACACCCCA